GAUGAACGCUAGCGGCAGGCUUAAUACAUGCAAGUCGAGGGGCAGCAGGACUGUAGCAAUACAGUUGCUGGCGACCGGCAAACGGGUGCGGAACACGUACGCAACCUUCCUUUAAGUGGGGAAUAGCCCAGGGAAACUUGGAUUAAUACCUCGUAACAUUAUGAGAUGGCAUCAUCUUAUAAUUAUAGCUCCGGCGCUUAAAGAUGGGCGUGCGCCUGAUUAGGUAGUUGGCGGGGUAACGGCCCACCAAGCCUUCGAUCAGUAACUGGUGUGAGAGCACGACCAGUCACACGGGCACUGAGACACGGGCCCGACUCCUACGGGAGGCAGCAGUAAGGAAUAUUGGUCAAUGGACGCAAGUCUGAACCAGCCAUGCCGCGUGGAGGAUGAAGGUCCUCUGGAUUGUAAACUUCUUUUAUCUGGGAAGAAACCCAUAUUUUCUAGUGUGGUUGACGGUACCAGAUGAAUAAGCACCGGCUAACUCCGUGCCAGCCGCCGCCGUAAAAC
rnacentral:rRNA from 1 species